UACGUAGGGGGCAAGCGUUGUCCGGAAUCAUUGGGCGUAAAGCGCGUGUAGGCGGCCCGUUAAGUCCGCUGUGAAAGUCCAGGGCUCAACUCUGGGAUGCCGGUGGAAACUGUCGGGCUGGAGUCCGGAAGAGGCGAGUGGAAUUCCUGGUGUAGCGGUGAAAUGCGCAGAUAUCAGGAGGAACACCAAUGGCGAAGGCAGCUCGCUGGGACGGUACUGACGCUGAGACGCGAAAGCGUGGGGAGCAAACAGG
rnacentral:rRNA from 1 species